rnacentral:rRNA from 1 species
AUCAACGCUGGCGGCGUGCCUAACACAUGCAAGUCGAACGCGAAAGUUCCCCGAAAGGGGGAUGAUUAGAGUGGCAAACGGGUGAGUAACGCGUGGGUAACCUACCCUUGAGUGGGGAAUAACUUACCGAAAGGUGAGCUAAUACCGCAUGGGGAGUCAAGUUGCAAGACCAUGACUCUAAAGACGAAAGUCGCUUAAGGAGGGGCCCGCGUCCGAUUAGCUAGUUGGUGAGGUAAUGGCUCACCAAGGCGGCGAUCGGUAGCUGGUCUGAGAGGACGGCCAGCCACACUGGGACUGAGACACGGCCCAGACUCCUAUGGGAGGCAGCAGUGGGGAAUCUUGGGCAAUGGGCGAAAGCCUGACCCAGCAACGCCGCGUGGAGGAUGAAGCCCUUCGGGGCGUAAACUCCUGUCAGGUGGGACGAAAGGCGGGGAAACCUGUCUUGACGGUACCACCGGAGGAAGCCACGGCUAACUCCGU